rnacentral:rRNA from 1 species
UACGUAGGGUGCGAGCGUUAAUCGGAAUUACUGGGCGUAAAGCGUGCGCAGGCGGUUUUGUAAGCCAGAUGUGAAAUCCCCGGGCUUAACCUGGGAAUGGCAUUUGGGACUGCAAGGCUGGAGUGCGGCAGAGGAGACUGGAAUUCCUGGUGUAGCAGUGAAAUGCGUAGAUAUCAGGAGGAACACCGGUGGUGUAGACGGCUAUCUGGACCGUAACUGACGCUGAGGCACGAAAGCGUGGGUAGCAAACAGG